GCCUCUUCCCAUCCAAAUAUGGACAGAAUAAACACAGCAAGCCCACGAAACUCUGCUGCUCUGCUCAGAGCACACAGCAGCUACCCAGUACACUCAUGAAAAAAUUCAGAUAUCUCACCUCUCUAUAGGAAUUUUUAUCUACAGUUCCCAGCCUGCUGCAUAAAGGAGGGAAGAGCAGUGUGUCUGUUUUUCUGAAGAGGAGGUGGGAUGAAUAAAAGAUGCCUGGCUCGAGCCAAAGGUGACCUGUCACUGCUUUCAGGCAGGAUCCAUCCUCUGGGCUGCAGAACAGCGUGUGCUCCUCCUGGCCCAGCAGCAGUAAGGCAGCCCUGGGACACUGCAGAAGCUUUUCAAGUCCCAAAGGCAGGAAACAUCGGUGUGAGAUGUGCCCUGGCUGCUACCCCAAGGCCACUGUCAGGGCAGAUGUUGCUUCCUGUGACCAUGGACCAGGGCAAGCAAUACCCAUAG
rnacentral:lncRNA from 1 species